AUGAAGAUUCACGUCUUUCUCUUUGUUUUAUUUUUCUUUCUGGUCCCCAUUGCCACCAGUGAAAUGUGCCGUGAAAGACACCUAUAGUUGCUUUAUCAUGAGAGGCAAAUGUCGACAUGAGUGUCAUGAUUUUGAAAAACCAAUUGGUUUCUGCACAAAACUAAAUGCCAACUGUUAUAUGUAG